rnacentral:tRNA from 1 species
GGGGAUAUAGCUCAGUCGGUAGAGUGCUUGCCUCACAGGUACAAUGCCCUAGGUUCAAAACCCAGCACCCCCC